rnacentral:lncRNA from 1 species
AUGAGCUCCCAGUUUCAUCAGAAUGAUUCUGCUGAGGUGGAGGCCCUGUCCACCUCCUGGUCACCGUGCAUCUGUGGGCCUUGCACCUACGUGUCUCUGGGCUUCUGUUUUCACAGCUCUGGAAUGCUGAUGGGGGCACUUUCUCUGUGGAUUGGCCAAGGAGAAGUGCAAGGGUGCAGAGCAUUGCAUGAAAAUGCAAAACCAGUGCAGUGGCUGUGCCUGGACAUGAAGAAGCAUCUCAAGAUGAGUGGGAUGCUAUGGAAGUUACCCUUCUCAUGCAGAAGAGCCUGAACCAGGCCUUUUUGGAUCUACAUGGCCUGGAUUCUGCCCUCACAGACUCCCACAUCUGUGACUUCCUGGAGAGCCACUUCCUAGAUGAGGAGAUGAAACUCAUCAGGAAGAUGGAUGACCACCUGACCAACCUCUGCAGGCUGGCUGGACCCCAGACGGAGCUGGGCGAGUCUCUUUUGGAAAGGCUCAUCUGCAAGCAUGAC